ACAUGUUUCCUUAGGAAAAAAGUCUCAGCAGCCUUAAUGAGAUGGGAAAUUGCGGAAUUAAUGAACUAAUCUGGAUAAUGGCUACUGUCCAUUUAAAAAAAGUUACCAUCCAUUUUGUGUCCAAACUGAGGAACACACCGAGCUGUAGAAUUCAACCUGGAAUUUAAAAAAAAAAUCAAUUUACCUGUUUUUGUUUUUUCUGAGGUGUGAGUUACGGGAGCCUCCGGGCCUGACAGCCUCGGCAGCCUCUGAUGCAGCUCUUUUGGCAUUUGAGACGUUUUCUCUUCAAGACAGAGAAAGUCAACAGCAAGGAACAUUUACUAAACUCUAAGCUUCAUUCCUGACAAAGGCUGUUCAUAUGCAAACAAACCUGUCUGAAGAUGACAAGGAAAUGUGGUAACUUUGUUUUCAUAGGGAGGCUGCUCUGCUUUCCAGCACAGCACACGCUGAUUAAAAAUCAGUCUGAAGUAGCAGAAGCCUGGAUCUGAAUCAAAACCACAUGCUACUAAUCCUGAAGAAAUUGCUGUGACUGGAUUGUUGCUGGAGGAACGGUGAAUAACCGUCCGCAAAGGGAAGCUGAAGGACACGGCAGAGCCUCCCGCCGCCCCUCAGGUGUCUGAUGACCCUGGGCAAGGAGCAGAAAGCCGCCUCUGGCAGGUAUGCUUAGCAGCCCUGAGCUCUGGGAGAAAUAUCACUAUCCUUUGAGGACAAAAUGGAGCGACAGUCCCAACGCUGAGAACUUGAGAAGCCAAGUGGACAAGACAGAGAAAAGAAAAACUACCCAAAUUCUGCAAAUGUAGGCUGGAGGCGCAGGGAGACAAAGACACGAGCUGGUGGAAAAUUUUGGUCAAAUCUUUUCUUGGAUGAAGACCGCAGUUUGGAUUUAUUGAAGUAUUUUGGAAAUGCAUGUAAGCCUCAUCUAUUUUAGCUCACAAUGCUGUGUAAAAAUAAAAGUGCUUUGUU